rnacentral:rRNA from 1 species
UACAGAGGUCUCAAGCGUUGUUCGGAUUCAUUGGGCGUAAAGGGUGUGUAGGUGGCGCGCUAAGUCGGGUGUGAAAUUUCGGAGCUUAACUCCGAAACUGCAUUCGAUACUGGCGUGCUUGAGGACUGGAGAGGAGACUGGAAUUCAUGGUGUAGCAGUGAAAUGCGUAGAGAUCAUGAGGAAGACCAGUGGCGAAGGCGGGUCUCUGGGACGGUACUGACGCUGAGACGCGAAAGCGUGGGGAGCGAACAGG